CCUACGGGGGGCUGCAGUGGGGAAUAUUGGACAAUGGGCGAAAGCCUGAUCCAGCCAUGCCGCGUGUGUGAAGAAGGCCUUCGGGUUGUAAAGCACUUUCAGUGGGGAAGAAAGCCUUGGGGCUAAUACCCUCGAGGAAGGACAUCACCCACAGAAGAAGCACCGGCUAACUCCGUGCCAGCAGCCGCGGUAAUACGGAGGGUGCGAGCGUUAAUCGGAAUUACUGGGCGUAAAGCGCGCGUAGGCGGUCUGAUAAGCCGGUUGUGAAAGCCCCGGGCUCAACCUGGGAACGGCAUCCGGAACUGUCAGGCUAGAGUGCAGGAGAGGAAGGUAGAAUUCCCGGUGUAGCAGUGAAAUGCGUAGAGCUCGGGAGGAAUACCAGUGGCGAAGGCGGCCUUCUGGACUGACACUGACGCUGAGGUGCGAAAGCGUGGGUAGCAAACAGGAUUAGAUACCCUUGUAGUC
rnacentral:rRNA from 1 species